rnacentral:snoRNA from 1 species
CCCCUCUCAGGAUCGCACUUGGAGAGUUUCCAGUACUCUACCAGUCUCGGCUAUGGGAGGGAGAGUCUAGCAGAGGCAGACCCAUUCUAUUCCUAGCUUGAGCAGUGGCUAGAAAGUGGAAGGAAUCUGCUACAAGU